CAAGUCGUGGGGCAGCAGGGUGUAGCAAUACAUCGCUGGCGACCGGCAAACGGGUGCGGAACACGUACACAACCUUCCUUUAAGUGGGGAAUAGCCCAGGGAAACUUGGAUUAAUACCCCGUAACAUAUCGAAGAGGCAUCUCUUUGAUAUUAUAGCUACGGCGCUUGAAGAUGGGUGUGCGGCUGAUUAGGUAGUUGGCGGGGUAACGGCCCACCAAGCCUACGAUCAGUAACUGGUGUGAGAGCACGACCAGUCACACGGGCACUGAGACACGGGCCCGACUCCUACGGGAGGCAGCAGUAAGGAAUAUUGGUCAAUGGACGCAAGUCUGAACCAGCCAUGCCGCGUGGAGGAUGAAGGUCCUCUGGAUUGUAAACUUCUUUUAUCUGGGACGAAAAAAGGGAAUUCUUUCUCACUUGACGGUACCAGAUGAAUAAGCACCGGCUAACUCCGUGCCAGCAGCCGCGGUAAUACGGAGGGUGCAAGCGUUAUCCGGAUUCACUGGGUUUAAAGGGUGCGUAGGUGGGCUUGUAAGUCAGUGGUGAAAUCUCCGGGCUUAACUCGGAAACUGCCAUUGAUACUAUAAGUCUUGAAUACCAUGGAGGUGAGCGGAAUAUGUCAUGUAGCGGUGAAAUGCUUAGAUAUGACAUAGAACACCAAUUGCGAAGGCAGCUCGCUACGCGGUUAUUGACACUGAGGCACGAAAGCGUGGGGAUCAAACAGGAUUAGAUACCCUGGUAGUCCACGCCCUAAACGAUGGAUACUCGACAUCAGCGAUACACUGUUGGUGUCUGAGCGAAAGCAUUAAGUAUCCCACCUGGGAAGUACGACCGCAAGGUUGAAACUCAAAGGAAUUGACGGGGGUCCGCACAAGCGGUGGA
rnacentral:rRNA from 1 species